rnacentral:rRNA from 1 species
AGUGAACGCUGGCGGUAGGCCUAACACAUGCAAGUCGAACGGCAGCACAGGAGAGCUUGCUCUCUGGGUGGCGAGUGGCGGACGGGUGAGGAAUACAUCGGAAUCUACUCUGUCGUGGGGGAUAACGUAGGGAAACUUACGCUACUACCGCAUACGACCUACGGGUGAAAGCAGGGGACCUUCGGGCCUUGCGCGAUUGAAUGAGCCGAUGUCGGAUUAGCUAGUUGGCGGGGUAAAGGCCCACCAAGGCGACGAUCCGUAGCUGGUCUGGGAGGAUGAUCAGCCACACUGGAACUGAGACACGGUCCAGACUCCUACGGGAGGCAGCAGUGGGGAAUAUUGGACAAUGGGCGCAAGCCUGAUCCAGCCAUACCGCGUGGGUGAAGAAGGCCUUCGGGUUGUAAAGCCCUUUUGUUGGGAAAGAAAUCCAGCUGGUUAAUACCCGGUUGGGAUGACGGUACCCAAAGAAUAAGCACCGGCUAACUUCGUGCCAGCCGCCGCCGUAA